CAGUCGCCGCGGUAAUACGUAGGUGGCAAGCGUUGUCCGGAAUUAUUGGGCGUAAAGCGCGCGCAGGCGGCCUAUCCAGUCUGUCUUAAAAGUUCGGGGCUCAACCCCGUGAUGGGAUGGAAACUAGUAGGCUAGAGUAUCGGAGAGGAAAGCGGAAUUCCUAGUGUAGCGGUGAAAUGCGUAGAUAUUAGGAAGAACACCAGUGGCGAAGGCGGCUUUCUGGACUGCAACUGACGCUGAGGCUCGAAAGCCAGGGGAGCGAACGGGAUUAGAGACCCCCUAGUCCCUGUCUCUUUACACC
rnacentral:rRNA from 1 species